UACGUAGGGUGCGAGCGUUGCCCGGAUUUAUUGGGCGUAAAGGGCGCGUAGGCGGCUCGGCACGUCCGUUGUGAAAUCGCUCGGCUCAACUGGGCGAGGUCAGCGGAUACGGUCGAGCUUGAGCCAGCUAGGGGGCAAUGGAAUUCCCGGUGUAGUGGUGGAAUGCGUAGAUAUCAGGAGAAACACCGGUGGCGAAGGCGGGUCUCUGGGCCGACACUGACGCUGGGGAGCGAAAGCGUGGGGAGCGAACAGG
rnacentral:rRNA from 1 species